UACGUAGGGUGCAAGCGUUAAUCGGAAUUACUGGGCGUAAAGCGUGCGCAGGCGGUUAUGUAAGACAGGUGUGAAAUCCCCGGGCUUAACCUGGGAACUGCAUUUGUGACUGCAUAGCUAGAGUACGGUAGAGGGGGAUGGAAUUCCGCGUGUAGCAGUGAAAUGCGUAGAUAUGCGGAGGAACACCGAUGGCGAAGGCAAUCCCCUGGACCUGUACUGGCGCUCAUGCACGAAAGCGUGGGGAGCAAACAGG
rnacentral:rRNA from 1 species